AGAGAGGUGCUCGAGUGGUUGAAGAGGCUACCCUGGACACGUAGUAUACGGAUAACUGUAUCGAGGGUUCGAAUCCCUUCCCCUCUG
rnacentral:tRNA from 1 species